rnacentral:rRNA from 1 species
CAGUCGAGCGGAACGAUGGGAGCUUGCUCCCAGGCGUCGAGCGGCGGACGGGUGAGUAAUGCAUAGGAAUCUGCCCGGUAGUGGGGGAUAACCUGGGGAAACUCAGGCUAAUACCGCAUACGUCCUACGGGAGAAAGCAGGGGAUCUUCGGACCUUGCGCUAUCGGAUGAGCCUAUGUCGGAUUAGCUAGUUGGUGAGGUAACGGCUCACCAAGGCCGCGAUCCGUAGCUGGUCUGAGAGGAUGAUCAGCCACAUCGGGACUGAGACACGGCCCGAACUCCUACGGGAGGCAGCAGUGGGGAAUAUUGGACAAUGGGCGAAAGCCUGAUCCGCCUGCCCGCGUGUGUGAAGAAGGCCCUCGGGUUGUAAAGCACUUUCAGUGAGGAAGAAGGCUUGUGGGUUAAUACCCUGCAAGAAGGACAUCACUCACAGAAGAAGCACCGGCUAACUCCGUGCCAGCAGCCGCGGUAAUACGGAGGGUGCGAGCGUUAAUCGGAAUUACUGGGCGUAAAGCGCGCGUAGGCGGCUUGAUAAGCCGGUUGUGAAAGCCCCGGGCUCAACCUGGGAACGGCAUCCGGAACUGUCAGGCUAGAGUGCAGGAGAGGAAGGUAGAAUUCCCGGUGUAGCGGUGAAAUGCGUAGAGAUCGGGAGGAAUACCAGUGGCGAAGGCGGCCUUCUGGACUGACACUGACGCUGAGGUGCGAAAGCGUGGGUAGCAAACAGGAUUAGAUACCCUGGUAGUCCACGCCGUAAACGAUGUCGACUAGCCGUUGGGGUCCUCGAGACCUUUGUGGCGCAGUUAACGCGAUAAGUCGACCGCCUGGGGAGUACGGCCGCAAGGUUAAAACUCAAAUGAAUUGACGGGGGCCCGCACAAGCGGUGGAGCAUGUGGUUUAAUUCGAUGCAACGCGAAGAACCUUACCUACCCUUGACAUCGAGCGAACUUUCCAGAGAUGGAUUGGUGCCUUCGGGAACGCUCAGACAGGUGCUGCAUGGCUGUCGUCAGCUCGUGUUGUGAAAUGUU